AGGAAGUGGCAGAGUGGUUAUGUGACUGGCUUGAAACCAGUGCAUGGGGGUUCAAUUCCUCCCUUCCUC
rnacentral:tRNA from 1 species